rnacentral:lncRNA from 1 species
AAAUUUCAAAGAUAUUUAGCAUUUAACAUUUUUAAAUAGUCUGCAUAAAAAAAAAAAAAAAAAGAUAGCGUAUUUUUAAAACAAACGGAGAUAGUCACUGGUCGGAGUUGUCAACGGCAUCUAUGCUCACCUCUCCGAUUGAAGAUGACGGCAUGGCUACUUUGACGGUAUGGUUGGCUGCAGUUCGCCAAAGGGAGAGGAAGGAGCGCUAGCGGGUAAGGGAAGACGCUGUUGCGCCAGAUUUCGGCGACGGAGGGAGAAAACGGGGUCGAUGGCGUAGAUAAGGGGAGGGGGGUUAGCGCCGGCAGCAGAUCUGGGAAGGAAUGUGGAGGCGGCGCCGGCGCUGGGCUGGCUGGUAUAGCCGAAAAAGGGGGAGGGGAAAGGCGGCGGCAAUGGCUGUCUCGCCGUGUGGUGGAAGUUCCGGUCAGAUCUGGUGCGCCGUUGAUUGGUGUCGCUGGCGGCUUGAUACUGUUCCAGUAGUGUGGGGAUCGUUUCCGGAAAGAAAUUUGGCUAGAUAGGACUAAUGUUGACUAUUUUCUAGCGAUGGAUAAACUUUUUUCCGGCAAAAUUUCGCAGGAAAAUUAAUAUAAGAAUCUAUUAUUUUUCCAUCUUCUUCCUUCAAUUUUCUCACUUUUUUUUUGGUUUCUUACUGAUUUCUCCUUGUCUUUGUGUGAAUUCGUGUGUUGUGCUGUUGUGUAAAUUAUUCCGAUCAAUAUGUUCAAUAUAUCCUUGUUAGUGAUGUCGACGGAGUGGCUAGUGAUAUUUUGUGUAUUGUUAUCUGUGAG